rnacentral:rRNA from 1 species
UGGGGAAUAUUGCGCAAUGGGCGAAAGCCUGAUGCAGCAACGCCGCGUGCGGGAAGACAGCCCUAGGGUUGUAAACCGCUUUCAGCAGGGAAGAAACUGACGGUACCUGCAGAAGAAGAUGCGGCCAACUACGUGCCAGCAGCCGCGGUGACACGUAGGCAUCAAGCGUUAUCCGGAUUUAUUGGGCGUAAAGAGCUCGUAGGCGGUUCGGUAAGUCGGGUGUGAAAACUCUGGGCUCAACCCAGAGAGGCCACUCGAUACUGCUGUGACUAGAGUGCGGUAGGGGAGCGGGGAAUUCCUGGUGUAGCGGUGAAAUGCGCAGAUAUCAGGAGGAACACCAGUGGCGAAGGCGCCGCUCUGGGCCGUAACUGACGCUGAGGAGCGAAAGCAUGGGUAGCAAACAGGAUUAGAUACCCUGGUAGUCCAUGCCGUAAACGUUGGGCACUAGGUGUGGGUCUCAACCAACGAGAUCCGCGCCGUCGCUAACGCA